UAGAGGAUUUAGCAUUAAGCAAAACAAUCUGUUAGAAGAGAAGGAUGGCUUCCUUUUCAUUGAUAAGACUCUGUCUUCUUUCUCUUACACAUGCAACAGUUGGACUUCAGUCAUUUGAUAAUGUGGUUAUGUUUGCCUUACUAGGAGAAGGCAUUACUUUACCAUGUGGCAUACCCUCAAUCACAUCCUGCUCCUCUGUUAACUGGAACUUAGCUGGAGAGUUUCGAACAGUCACGGAGGUGGUGAAGGCUGGAAUGGUGACAGCCCCGAACGCCCUCAGGCUUGGUCUGCUAAAGGACUGCUCUCUGAAGAUUAAUCGCCUGGUACUCGAUGAUGCACGAAUUUACUCUUGUAACAGUGGACUGCUCAAUUCAAAUGUUUCUCUUCAGAUUCUUGCAAUUGCUGAGCGUUCAACUCCUGCAGACAGCACAAUAGAACUUCAGUGUUUCCUCAAUACGUAUAAAGGAUAUGUUGCUUGUAGCAACACAGGGAUACAUAUCAAGUGGAGCACUGAAGAUAAUACACCAAUACAUGGGGAUAGAUUUCAGUUCAAACAUGAAUCUGAAUGCUUCUCCAAACUGAUUAUCACUAAAAAACUGACAGACCAUCACAGAAAAUGGAAAUGCCAGCUGACUCAUAAUGACAUGGUUCAAGCCACCAUCACUUAUACAACAACAAUACAAGAUGGCACAGAGGAAGUGUUUACAGCAGUGGGUGAGUCAGUGUCACUCUCUUGUAGCAACACUUCCUCUCUCAGCAUGAGUGGCCUCGUGAAGUGGUCUGUGGGUGAAAGGACUCUGGCAGAUGAUGUCUCACCUUAUAAAGGCCAAACGGAGGCAUUGCAUGUGAAAAAAGACUAUUCUCUGGUCAUUAGCAAAGUAAAGCCUCUGCACACCGGGGACUACCAGUGUACAGAGUUCACUGAUCAACAAAAAGUGUUUAAUAAAAUCCGGCUGCAUACCCUCGAUGUUACUUCAGAGCACGGGCCAGGAGAUGAUAAUCUCACUUUGACUUGUGUGCUUACCUGCACUAAAGAUUGUGGAAAAGACUUCAAUUUAACUUGGUCUGGAGGAAGCCACAAUAGCUGGCAGAGUGGUUUAAUGCAUGACAAUAACACUCUAAUAAACAGGUUGUUUCUGCCAGUGUUUUCAAUGACUGAUGAAAUAACUUGCUUUGUGCAAAGAGAGGGUGAAGUCAUGGCAUCAAAGAAAUGGCGCAUCAUUAAUCCUCUGCAAACACCUGCUUGGGUAGUCCUUCCUAUAGCCCUGCUGAUAUGUUUAACUGCUGGAGGACUCUACAUGUACAUGAAGAGGAAGCACAACAAGGAUGCAGGAAAUGAACAGUCAAAUAUUAGAAUGAUGCAUGUUUACGAGGUCAUUCAGGAUGCAACUAAUGAGGAACUACACCAGCAAACACAAACCAAAAGAGGAGCUGAGAACACCACUGGCAGUUUCUAUGAUUUAUUACAGGCUGUGAACUAGAACUUAAUAAAAGUGUCCUUUAACCUUGCAAAAUGUGUUUCACAAAACCUGUUUUAAAAGGUAAUAUUUUCUUGUAACAGAACACUGGAAAUUGGAUAAAAGAUUUUAUUGAAAGAUGGUAUUUUAAAUAUUUUUAAAUAAUACAGAUGAUUAGAUAUAUUAACACAAACAGGGUCUUUUCAACAGGGGUAAAAACAGGAGCUAGCAUGUUGCUCCAUAUUUUUACUCUUUGCAAGACAAAGACUUUACAUAUGAGUAGAUGUUACAUGUUUUUACAUGAUGCAUAAAUGUAAGCAGGAAAUCCAGAUUUAACUAUAAUUUCACGAGAACAAUUGUCUUCUUUGUGUUGAGCAGAACUUUACUAAUGCUGGACUGCAAUGAAGGACAGAAAGUUGUUAUUUGUCUAUUUUGAUAUGAUGAGAAUUAAAGUUAUGAUUUUAUUAUAGUAGUACUACUUACAAGUACACAUGCCUUCGUCCGGGAGUUGUUGGUAUAAACUGUUGACUCGAUGGUUUGUACGAUCUGUGAGAUAGUGAUACAAAGUUGUCAGUGAAGUGGUGAACAGAGAAGGAGAGAUCAUAGUGGCCAUUACAUAGUAGAAUAACAUGGUGCUCACCCUCUGAAAGCGUAAAAUUCACAAUCUCAUAACCAGCACUGGACUCUGUAAGAGUAACUGAUUAACAGCAAGAGAAAACAAAGCUAUGAUAACACUUUAGUACACUGCAUUGCUCAACAAAAAUAAGGAAAUAAAAGAUAGAUCAAACCUGCUGGGUGCCUCAGGGUUUGUUGUAUAACUCUCUGGGUGUUACGUCUGCGGUAAAUGAACACUCCUAUCAGUGCAGCCAUUAUGGCAAUCCCAACAAGGACUGAAGUCACAACAACUACCAUAAAUGAUCCACUACUCCCCUCCUUCUUGCCUUUCAAAAUAUUCUCACUGGUAGUCAUUUCUGGAGAAGACAGGAUCAAUUACAACACCACAUUUAACAGGAGAGUUCUAAUGCAAUUUAAUUCAAACAUAAAAUAUUUGAGUUUCUGUUGCAAUACCUUGAGCUGUUGUGGCCACAACAGCAUGUUCCACUUCUUAAAGGAAACAUAAAAGGUACAAGGGAGUUAUGCAUGUUGUCAUUUGUUGUCAGUGAUAAUACCAAAUAGUUUAAAAUCUUACCUUGGACCAGUAGUUUAAUGUCGAAGCAGCGGUGAGUUUGUCCAAGCGUGUAAUUACAUCUGUACCAACUACUGUCAUCGUUAUUCACAGACUGGAUAGCUAAUGAAGUCCCAUUCAUUUCAACCCUUUUAAAGUUUACAGCUGCAGGGCUGCCUCCUUUCAUCAUUGCCCAGGAGAUGUUUUGGGGUCCUUGUUGUCCUGAUGUUAUGUCCACUGGGCAGUUCAGGUUAGCGGGUGUGCUCGGCGCUGCCUUCACUGGCAGAAGGGCUUUGCAGUCUGAAAGAUAUAUAGAUAUAUAGAUUUGUGUUAUAAAUUAGUGGGAUUUAUUUGUAAAGGAGAGAAAAUAAGAAGAAUAAAAGUGUGACAUUACCUUUUACUUUUAAAGAUACAUUUUUGACACUAAUAAAAUCCCAGUCACACCAGAUUUCACAUCCGUACACUCCCUCAUCAGAUUUUUGUGAUUUUGUCAGAAAAAGAGACAUUUGUCCAUUUCCAUCAUCUUGCCAUUUUACACGUUCAGCGUCCUGGAAUUUAUGUGUUUUAGGCCGGGUUAAGAUAACCUUCAUCUGACUUCCAUCUGUGGCAUAUUUAAUCAACCUGACUCGAAUGCAACUCCUUCGAUCCAUUUCGCUCCAUGAAUCUGCACAAGGGAGAACUACAUCUUCUUCUUGAGAAGUAAUCACAGUCUCGAUUCCUGGUGAGCCAUCUUUAAAAUGAUAAGAGAUACAGAUUAUAAUUCAUUUAAGAAUAAGACUUCGAGGAGAUAUUGUAUAGAGGGUUUUU
ensembl:lncRNA uncharacterized LOC115021757